GCUUGCUUAUUGGAGGCAACACAAUAAAGGCAUUCAUAUAUUUUAUUUAGGUCUGGAACUGGAGGUGGCCCUUCCAAAAAAGUCUUUUUCUGCAGGUAUGAGGAGCAACUUAUGCCUUUUCUUGUUGCAGAGAGCAUGACUGGUGUCACCGGCAUCUUUGAUUCCGACAGGAAUGUCGGCAAAGGUGGCCAUAGACGCUCCGCUGGACGGUCCUCGUCUCUGCUCCACUCCCUACAAUGCUAUCCUGCAAUGGAAGAGGAAACUUUGAGUGGGGUCUGAGAGGGUCUGGGGAAUGUGCCAGUGACGUGGCCUUAUUUUCCGAUGAGGAGCCAGCACAAAUUCCCCAACAGCAGGUCACACCUAUGGCCAGAACCACCACAGCUAAUGUGCCCCCCAAGGAACCUGAGAAGGAUCAGUUCUACAGAUCCCUUAUUAGGCAUAAUAAGGUGUUUAAUGAAAAAGUUGGACACAUUACAUGUGGACUUUUGUGUGGCCACUAAUGCCUACAAUGCGAGUCAGGCAUGACAAGCUGCGCACGAGGCCGCCAUGUUAAGCCUGCAACAGGAGAGUCAGGCAGGACAAGCUGCACACGAGGCCGCCAUGUUAAGCCUGCAACAGGAGAGUCAGGCACAACAAGCUGCGCACAAGGCCGCCAUGUUAAGCCUGCAAGAGGAGCGUUUACAAGUCCAACAUGAAAAAGUGGCAUCGUUUUCUAAGCAAAAUUAUCUUCUAGAGAAACAAAUUUCAUUUCAAGAAAAAGCACAAAAGGAAAUUCAGCCAACAUGCUCUACCACUAGAGAUAGUGGUGAGAGUUCAGAUACCACUCCUGCAGCUCCCACUAGGCAGCUUCGUAAAAAAAAUUAAUGUGCCACGAAAAUGUGCUUAUUUUUUGUAAAUAGCCAAAUGCUGUGUUAAGAAAGAAUAUUAAUACACAUUAGGGAUCUGUGGAACUUAUCUUUUCUUAGGCCUAUGUUCUUUGUAAAUAGUUCUUUCUCUUGUUGCUAUUUGUGUGGGGGUGGGGGAAUCACCUGCUCAAAUCCACAUCAGCCUUAGUUGCCACUCACCACUGCUGUGAGAAAUAAAAGAAAGGAGCAUUUUUUUUUUUAAGUACGCAACUAAUUUCCCUGUGAAUAAAAAUAUUUCUUUG